rnacentral:rRNA from 1 species
GCAGAGUAAGUGGCAGCGGGCUGGGUGAGACGUAGGUGUCAAGGGUUAGGCGGAGUGACUGAGCGGAAAGCGGGCGGAGGAGGUGUGUUAAGUGUGGGGUUACAUCGUGUGGCUCAACCAGAUCGAGGCAGCGCAUACUGGCAGACUAGAGGACGGCAGAGGCAAGUGGAAUUGGUAGUGUAGCAGUGAAAUGCGUAGAUAUUACCAGGAACACCAAUGGCGAAGGCAGCUUGCUGGGCCACUCCUGACACUGAGGUACGAAAGCGUGGGGAGCGAACAGGAUUAGAUACCCCAGUAGUC